rnacentral:rRNA from 1 species
UACGGAGGGGCGAGCGUUAUUCGGAAUUAUUGGGCGUAAAGGGCGCGUAGGCGGCCUGAUAAGUCAAAGGUGAAAUCCCUCGGCUCAACUGAGGAAUUGCCUUUGAAACUGUCAGGCUUGAGGCCGGGAGGGGGUGGCGGAAUUCCCAGUGUAGCGGUGAAAUGCGUAGAUAUUGGGAGGAACACCAGUGGCGAAGGCGGCCACCUGGACCGGUUCUGACGCUGAUGCGCGAAAGCGUGGGGAGCAAACAGG